GCCAAAUUUCGUCGCACUCGGAGUUUAUUUGAUACCCGAACCAUUAUAUAUAUAGCGGCACUAUGGCCGGUUAAAUUGUGAGGCGUUUUCGGUGUUCAAAAUCUUGUCAUGACCACAAACUCCCUCUCUUCUCAUCCCACUACCACUGUACACAACCCACAACCCACCUAACCUAACCCAUGAUCAAAGCCGUUCAAAAUCUUGUCAUGAUCGAACGGUUCGAGUCAGGCUAAAAAUAGCUAACCCUGGCCUCAUUUUUCUAUGAAUAGACCCCAAACCUACCUAAUUUGGACCCUAACCAUAAUUCCCCUCGAUCCCCGCACCCACCAGCCUCAGUCGUCACCAACCAGAGCCCCUUCUCCCACCCCCACGGCCUUGGAGGUCCAGAUCGGGCCCGUCGAGCCCAUCUGGGCCAGGACGCGUCCGCCGCCGCCCGCAGAUGCUCCCGUGCCCGCAGCUGCUCCCGUGCCCGCAUUCGCUCGAGGGGAGAAGCGCCGAGCAUCCAGCCCCGCGCCCCGUGGGGCCCCUUCGUCGCCCGGACACCGUCUCCAUGGAAGCUCUGUAGUUCACCGUCGUGCCUUGGAGUUGCUCCCCAGCCACCGGAAUGGAUGGAUCCGGGAGGUCCCUUCGCAGAUCCGGCCCUACCCAGCUCCCUCAUCUUGCCGGAGGAGCCUGCCGCGCGCGUCGCCGUGUUGCCGCCGUCGCCCACCUGCUGCUCGUGUCGGGUUGGAGCCAGGGACGACGAGUGCCGCACCCCGUUCGCCUCCUGGGCCACUUGCCCCGACCUGGUGCAGCCACGGCCACUCUCAGCGCGAGGCCCCGAGCCGGCCCAGCUCCUGUCGCCAGUAGGCCAGCGCGCCUGAGGCCUGUAUCGCCCCCUUCGGCCUAGUCCGCCUCUAACAGCGACGUCCCCAAGGCCGAGAAGGUGAUUGCCCCUCGUGUGCCUAUCCAGCGCAUGUGGGCGUAGUAUAAUAUUCAACCCUCACCCAUACCACACUGUCUAGCCACUAGGUUCUUCCUAGAUGUGUCUUUUCCGCCCUCGACGAUUUUAGGAUUUAUCCCGUGAAUUACAACUUUACAAAAAAAACCCUCCAAACUCAUGCAUUUAAUAACUUGAGAACCGUGCAUCAAAUGCAAAUAAUUUAUAUAUGAAAAAGGACUAGAAUUUCGUUUAGAUUGAUAAUGUCAACCUUUCAUGCGUGUUAAAAAAUAUUUAGAUGUGCUGUUUAAUUAAA